AUUGAACGCUGGCGGCAGGCCUAACACAUGCAAGUCGAGCGAGCGGCGGACGGGUGAGUAAUGUCUGGGAAACUGCCUGAUGGGGGGGGAUAACUACUGGAAACGGUAGCUAAUACCGCAUACCAUCAGAUGUGCCCAGAUGGGAUUAGCUAGUAGGUGGGGUAAUGGCUCACCUAGGCGACGAUCCCUAGCUGGUCUGAGAGGAUGACCAGCCACAGUGGAACUGAGCAACGGCCCGGACGCCGACGGGAGAGAGCAGUGGGGAUUAUUGGAAAAUGGGGGCAAGCCUGAUGGAGCAAUGCCGCUUGUGUGAAGAAGGCCUUCGGGUUGUAAAGCACUUUCAGCGGGGAGGCGUUACCCGCAGAAGAAGCACCGACUAACUCCGUGCCAGCAGCCGCGGUAAUAC
rnacentral:rRNA from 1 species